rnacentral:rRNA from 1 species
AAAGGAAUUGACGGGGGCCCGCACAAGCGGAGGAGCAUGUGGUUUAAUUCGAUGAUACGCGAGGAACCUUACCCGGGCUCGAACGUAUAUUGAAUAAUGUGGAAACAUGUUAGUCGCAAGACAAUAUACGAGGUGCUGCAUGGUUGUCGUCAGCUCGUGCCGUGAGGUGUUAGGUUAAGUCCUGCAACGAGCGCAACCCUUACUUUCAGUUGCCAUCACGUUAUGGUGGGGACUCUGGAGGAACUGCCUACGCAAGUAGUGAGGAAGGUGGGGAUGACGUCAAAUCAGCACGGCCCUUAUGUUCGGGGCUACACACGUGCUACAAUGGUCGAUACAGAGGGUUGCUACUUGGUGACAAGGUGCUAAUCUCUAAAGUCGAUCUCAGUUCGGAUCGGAGGCUGUAACUCGCCUCCGUGAAGUCGGAUUCGCUAGUAAUCGCACAUCAGCCAUGGUGCGGUGAAUACGUUCCCGGGCCUUGUACACACCGCCCGU